rnacentral:rRNA from 1 species
CCUACGGGUGGCAGCAGUGGGGAAUAUUGGACAAUGGGGGCAACCCUGAUCCAGCCAUGCCGCGUGUGUGAAGAAGGCCCUCGGGUUGUAAAGCACUUUCAGUGAGGAAGAACGCCUGGUGGUUAAUACCCAUCAGGAAAGACAUCACUCACAGAAGAAGCACCGGCUAACUCCGUGCCAGCAGCCGCGGUAAUACGGAGGGUGCGAGCGUUAAUCGGAAUUACUGGGCGUAAAGCGCGCGUAGGUGGCUUGAUAAGCCGGUUGUGAAAGCCCCGGGCUCAACCUGGGAACGGCAUCCGGAACUGUCAAGCUAGAGUGCAGGAGAGGAAGGUAGAAUUCCCGGUGUAGCGGUGAAAUGCGAAGAGAUCGGGAGGAAUACCAGUGGCGAAGGCGGCCUUCUGGACUGACACUGACACUGAGGUGCGAAAGCGUGGGUAGCAAACAGGAUUAGAUACCCCAGUAGUC